CGGACCUGACUGCUAUCGGAUUGAUACUAAGCCAUGCGAGUCAUUGUAGCAAUACAAGGCAUACGGCUCAGUAACGCGUAGUCAACCUAACCUAUGGACGGGAAUAACCUCGGGAAACUGAGAACAAUGCCCGAUAGAACAUUAUGCCUGGAAUGGUUUAUGUUCCAAAUGAUUUAUCGCCGUAGGAUGGGACUGCGGCCUAUCAGUUUGUUGGUGAGGUAAUGGCCCACCAAGACCAUUACAGGUACGGGCUCUGAGAGGAGUAGCCCGGAGAUGGGUACUGAGACACGGACCCAGGCCCUAUGGGGCGCAGCAGGCGAGAAAACUUUGCAAUGUGCGAAAGCACGACAAGGUUAAUCCGAGUGGUUUCUGCUAAAGGAACCUUUUGUCAGUCCUAGAAACACUGAUGAAUAAGGGGUGGGCAAGUUCUGGUGUCAGCCGCCGCGGUAAAACCAGCACCUCAAGUGGUCAGGAUGAUUAUUGGGCCUAAAGCAUCCGUAGCCGGCUCUGUAAGUUUUCGGUUAAAUCUGUACGCUCAACGUACAGGCUGCCGGGAAUACUGCAAAGCUAGGGAGUGGGAGAGGUAGACGGUACUCGGUAGGAAGGGGUAAAAUCCUUUGAUCUAUUGAUGACCACCUGUGGCGAAGGCGGUCUACCAGAACACGUCCGACGGUGAGGGAUGAAAGCUGGGGGAGCAAACCGGAUUAGAUACCCGGGUAGUCCCAGCUGUAAACUAUGCAAACUCAGUGAUGCAUUGGCUUGUGGCCAAUGCAGUGCUGCAGGGAAGCCGUUAAGUUUGCCGCCUGGGAAGUACGUACGCAAGUAUGAAACUUGAAGGAAUUGGCGGGG
rnacentral:rRNA from 1 species